rnacentral:rRNA from 1 species
CAGCCGUAAACUAUGCGCGUUAGGUGUAUCGGUGACCACGAGUUACCGAGGUGCCGAAGGGAAACCGUGAAACGUGCCGCCUGGGAAGUACGGUCGCAAGGCUGAAACUUAAAGGAAUUGGCGGGGGAGCACCACAACAGGUGGAGCCUGCGGUUUAAUUGGACUCAACGCCGGGAAGCUCACCGGAUAGGACAGCAGAAUGAUUGCCGGGCUGAAGACCCUGCAUGACUAGCUGAGAGGAGGUGCAUGGCGUCAGUGACU